AGAUGGGCAUCUGGUUUCAGUCUUCUUCAUACAGAUAUCCAGUUUUCCCAUCACUGUUUAUUAAAGAGGCUGUGUUUUCUCCAAGCUACUUCUGUCUUCUUUCACUGUGGCUGCUCAUACUACCUCUUGGGUCUUCGUCAGAUCCUGCUGUGCUAGUGUGGAACUGACAGUGCAAGGCAAGGAAAACUCAGCGCUGACCAUGAAUGGAUAGUGGCAAAGCCCAGAAAAAGGAUACUUUCCAGCACCUUUCAACUGCUGUUACCUGACGAGAUACCUUAGAGAGGCAGAAAGAAGCCGGAGAUUUGGUCAGUCUAUAUGAUGAGUUGGUCACACCCAAUUUAGAAUUAAGAAGCACAGGGGCUGGGGAUUUAGCUCAGUGGUUCCGCCACCUGCCUCGCAAGCAUAAGGACCUGAGUUCGAUCCCCAGUACCCCCCCAAAAAAAGAAUUAAGAAGCACAAAUACAGCCGGGGAUUUAGCUCCACGGUUUCCGCCCCCUGCCUCGAAAGCUGAAGGUCCCAAGUUCGAUCCCCCAUACCAAAAAAGAAGAAGCAUAAAUACAGUUUCUAUAGUUCGAUCCCCAGUACUGGCCCCUACCCCGCAAAAAAAUACAGUAUUUCUAUUUGAACUUGGUUGAAUUCAAAGUAAAGGAUUUAGCCUCCAAAAAGAAGUGCCUUUUUCCUGUUUCCCUUCAAGAGCUUGCUGGUGUUCAACCUACUCCUGGGAGAUGUUCUUGAUUUAUUUUACAUUCCUCUAAACCUUUCUUUACAUCAGCACUUCUGAACUCGGCUUGGUUUUUUUACUACUUCUGUUAAUGCUUGAGAAUAAGCUUUCUCUUCAAGUGACUUGAGGUGUCCUGAAGGCAAAAGACACAUCUAUAUCUCUAUCUUUCUUCCACUUUUCUCCCUCUACACUGUUCUCCCACAAACAGAGGCCCAUCCAGGAAAAUUGUACAACCCCCACUGGUGGAGCUGCUCUAACAAAACACAGAAAAGGGCAAUCCUUCCUUAUUUAAAUGCAAAUGUAGUCUUAAAGAACCCUAGCGAUAGCCAGAAUUUACAUUGUUAAAUAAAGGUGUUUAAAAAGCAAACUAGCUUUCAUUAUGAUGCAAACGUACUUUAGGGACCCUGAGGAAAGAGGCCAGUGAGAAAGAGGAGCAGCUUCCAUAAAGAAAGGAUGCUCAGGGCUUUCUCGGUUGGCAGAGGGAAAGGGCACUCAGAGUGGUCACCUCUGAAAGCUCAGUCCAUACCAGUACUCUGGUAUUUCUGAUCAUUAUCUGAACUUUUAAACAGAUAUUUUUAUCACUCUUUCCAGUUCUACAAGGGUUCCCAGACCACAGUUUCAUUUGAUUCUCAUGAAUACGUUGGUAAGGGUAAAGUAUAGGUUUCAUUAUCCUCAUAGUAUAAAGGGAAACUAAAUCUCUGGAGCCCACAGAAAUCAGAGGAGCCAGGAUCUAAGCUGCAAGUAAACAGUCGUUGAAUUGUACAGAUAUAGAACUAUAUGAGUGUUUUAAGGUAAACAGGGUAUCUGCUUCACUUCAAGAAACUCAGUCGAGCUGGGAGAAAUGCCCAAAAUAGUAACACACAGGGCCUGGGAUUUAGCUCUGUGGCACCGCACCUGCAUUGCAAGUGUAAGGUCCUGAGUUCAAUCCCUGGUAUCAAAAAAAAAAAAAAGUAAUAACACAGAAAUUAAAUAAGGCAAGACCAGACACCAAACAGUAAAUGCAUCUUUCACUGUAAAAUGAGGCAAGUAACUCCUUCAAUAUUUAAAUGUAGUUAUGUAACUUACACCCAAGAGCCCUUCAUCUGCCUUCUCUGUCUCCAUCCCAAGUUGUUGCUUAAUAUUCUGGCUUUUACUCAGAUUUCUUUUUUUGGUACCGGGGAUCAAACUCAGGACCUUGCGCUUGCCAGGCAGGCGCCGGAACCACUGAGCUCAAUCCUCGGCCCAUUACUCAGAUUUCUUAUGGCACCUAUGAGGUCUUCUUCAGUUUUAUACCUUAGCUAUGGCAAUUUCUAGGCCUGUCACAAUCUUUUCAGUCCAGUAUUUGUGGGGCAAGUUGUGGCCAAAAAAAUUUAAAAAGAAAAAAAUUUUUUAAAGCUACAGGGGACAUAAAAUAGGAGAAGGGGAAAUUUGUCUUAUGUGUUCCAGAAAAUUCCAUCCACAUCACCUACAAUUUCUGAAAGGAAUGGAUUUUAGAAACUGAUACAAUGACCCAUGAAUUACACAUGAAGAGACAAAUAAAGGAGGGAAUGUCAGAAAGAAAUAUUGACCAAGACAAAGGAAAGAAUAAGUGAGAGGGCCGGGGAUUUGGUUCAGUGGUGCUGUGCCUGCCUGGCAAUUGCAAGGUUCUGAGUUCAAUCCCCAGUACCGGAAUAGAAAAAAGAAUAAGUGACAAGUUAGAAAAUGGCAUGAUCAGGACCUCUAUCCACACAAAAAAUAGUCUGAUAAUUUGUGUGUGUAAUUAUUGGAAUUUCUCAAAAAUCUAGGACGGUACUGGGUCAUACCUACUGCACUCCAAAAACACAGAUUCCCCUAAUUUCUCCUCCAUCUGGGGGAUUUUAUAGCCUCUCACAUGAAGACUGGUCCUGUAUUCUAAUUCACUCCAUUGAGGGAGAUCACAAUUAGCAAAAACAGAUGCACAGCUGAAAAAACCUAACAUGUCCACCAUCUGAUGAAUGGAUACACAAAAUAUGGUAUAUACACAGCAUAGAAUAUUACGCCACCACCAAAAAUUCUGAAUGUUGCAGUACUGUAACGGGUGAAACUUGAAAAUUACACUAAAUAAAAGAAGCCAGAUAUGUAAUAUAUGAUUCCAUUCAUAAAUGAUAUCCAGAAUACAUCAAGUGAUAGAAAAUUGAUCAGUGGUUGCCAGGGUCUGAGGGAGGACAAAUAGGAAGUGAAUGCUAAUCGUUAUGGUAUUUCUUUAAGGGUGAUGAAAGUGUUUAGGAGUCAGUGAUGAUGGCUUUACUACUACUUCAUGGAAAAAAAAAAGAUGGAUAAUGUUACAGGUUUACUUUGAAUUUAAGGAGGAAACUGAAUUGUAUUAGCCCAAUAUUUCUCUGGGAACAUAUUAGAAAUAUCAAAAUGGAAUAAACAUAACUGAAAACCUAUUCACAAAGAAAACAAAAACUAGAAAGGAAACAAAGACACGGAUGAGGGAGGUGGAAGACAUCAAACAUAGGCUAACAUAAGCAUAACUGGUGCCCCUAAAGAAGAGAACAAAUGAUGCAAGAAACAGUCAAAAUACUAAACAAAAACUUUUACUAUGGUAUAUAUGGUAGGCAGAGUACAAAUAAAGCACUUUACAUACACUGCCUCAUUUAAUGCUCUCAAUAACUGAAUAAGGUUAGGGACUAUUAUCAUCAUUCCUACUGUACUCAUGAGAACAGAGGAAUAGACAGUGCUAGUAAUUUUUCAAAGAAAAUACUGCAAUGAGUGGCAGGAAAAGAGCAUAAUGCAUCUAGAUUAAAUCAUUCUGGUACAAUUAUCCAAACUUCAAAGGUAAAGGAAAAUCUACAUGGUCAGUCAGACUGGAAAAUUCAAUUUUCUCCAAAAAGAAACAGCAACUUAACUUCCAAUUUUUUCUCAGUUAUCAGUUACUGUUAGCAGGUCAAAAGAUGGGAUAAGGGAGGAAGGAGGAACUCAAGACUUUUAUGUUCGGUUGUCCUUCAAGAGGAAAGGCUGAAACUUCUGUUAGUGGUAUUUGAGGUUUGCCACCUAAGAAAAACUUUCUCUGCAGGGUCAGCAAAUGCCAGGAAGGAGCUAACUGGCCACGGUUAGGUCUUAUACCACCAAAUUCUUAAGACCUGGGCAUGAGAUGCCACAACCAGCCCAGCAUGAGAAGACACAGUCACAAAAUAACUGUGAGACGAUUUUUACAUGGUUUGUGAUUGACUCAAUGUGGAGACUGGGAAAUUUCUGAGUUUCUUGUAUAGCGACUAUUGGAUGACAGAGUCAUAAGUUGCGAAUGGGAAUGCUGAGAGGGCAAAUAAAGAAUAUUAUGAGUUCAGUUUUGGACAAAUGAAUUCGAGGUAACUGUGAGGCUACUAAGGGAGAUGUCAAGCAUGAAAGUAGAUAUAUGGGCCUUCAGGACAAAGGAGAAGGGAGCAUAGGAUGUGUUUGACACAAAGCUGAUAAUGGAAGACAGAUGACUUCUGUGGGAUCACCCAAAAACCAAGUGUAAAAUGAGCAACACAUGCCUAUGAAAGAGGCUCAGUAUUUAAGGGGAGUCUCAGUAUUUAAAUAUCAGGCACAGAAAAAGAAGAAGAAGCUAGACAGGAAGGCUGAGAAGCAGCAGCCAGUAAGAAGGAAACCUGGGAAGGUGUAGCAGUGCCCAAGUGAGGGGAGAAGAGUGUUGGAAGGGGAAGAAAACAGUUGAGUAUGUCAGAAGUUGCUAAGAGGCACAGUAAGAUGAAGGAAAAAAAUGAGUGUGGGUUAUUUCCUUAUGGAUCAGAAUUUUCUUUUUUUUUUUUAAGUUCUUUUAUUGGUACAUUUUAGAUAUACAAUUCAUUUACA